GACCUGACUUGGUGAAGACAGCGAACGAAACCGCCCAACUUCUUGAGGGAGAAAAAUGCCCUGAGAUUAUACCUUCCAGAAGAAUGCCUGUUUAUUCCCACAGCAAAGGAGCUGCGGGCGAGGCGGUGCCACCGAAUGGCACUAGCGGGCGAGUCCUGGUCAGGGAGCCAAGUAGCCCGCGACACCCAAGCAACGACGAGAGCUUCGUCUAACACCCGGGGGGAGUGCCAGUGAACAGUGCCAGGGCCAGUAAAAUGUCGCUCCGAAAACACUGCUUUGGGAGAGGGAGAUCUGUCAGUUUAUCGUCGAGUUUAUCGUACGGCGUCUGUGUGUUUUCUUUGUUCAUUGGGUUCUCGCUUCGGGAAGGAGGGGAGAUGGCGACGUAUCGGGGAAUCUGGACCAUUUUUAGAUAACUUCUGUUUGAAGAAAGAGAUGCCAUGAUGUGUUUGAUAUAAAGAUGCUUAAGAAAAGGAAGAGGAAUAAAAGGGGUAAUCAAUUUAAAGUGUCUGUGGUUAUGUAAUAUGUAAUUUUUUGACGUUUCCCAUUCAUAAAAAGGAGUCACUUCUACAUGAGGGAGAAAUGAGAUGGAGAGUGUGUACAAAAGUAUCUGUUCCUAAUAAUGAUAAGUUUGCGAAUUAAAUGGCAGGAAAGUGGGCUCAUAUUUAAUGGGGAAGCCCUCUCUACAAUGAAAGCUGUUUCAAAAUCAUUAAUCCACACGUUCGUUGUCAAU